GAAUCAUUUGAGAGUCAGUCAAGAAGUAAGAGUGGAUAAACCUGAUCCCCCCACACACCCUUGAAUGUGCCUCUCUCGCUCUCCAAGCAACGGAGAAGAGGGGACAGUCGUUGCCGCUGGCAGGACUCACACCGCAGCUCUCCUAAAUCUCGUCCCUUGUCGGUGGCAGGCUCCGUCGCCGUGGCGUCGCGUGACAUUCUUUCCCACAGGCAGGCACAUAGUUGCAGACUCUCCUCAUGCGCGAAGGCCUGGGACCCACCAACAGGCGCGGGUCACUUCAAAGCGGGGCGAACUCACAGCUGCAGCCUGUCGGUCCUGUUGCCCUGCUCCAGUUUGUAAUCAAUAUUAAAGGAUUGACCCUGAAGGCAUCUCUGCUGCUGUUCACACAUCACCGUCCUCAGGGGACCGCAGAAGCUCUCCUCUUAAGACAAAUUUGGUUGCCUUGCACCUCGAGUGCCCAGGGAAUAGCGUGAAGAUGCGCAGAGCAUACUGAACCUCCACAUAUUCACUACAGUGUGAUCUUCAGAUUUUUCAGAUUUUCCAACAUACAAAGUGUGCUUAAACAUAUAUUAUUGUAGAAGGCAGCUAGCAGCAAAGAUUGUUAGCUUUUCUCUGAUAAAAAAACUAUUUGAAGAUCAUAUUCGCAACCUAAAAAUGAUUGUGAAUUACGCUAAGGUAGCUGCCAGAAACAUUCAACGACAUGCCACAGAUAAAUGUCUGAGAAUAAACAACGUUUUGCUCCAGGCAUUUCCAUUUAGACUUGGAUAAACUGACUGGGCUGCUAACCACCUGGAUUAGCAUUCGUGUUGUUGCUGUAGGCGGCACUGUAAAUUUGUCAAUACUCUUAUUCUCAGCGAAUCUGCCACAACAAGACUGAGUCAUUCAUAACAACCGUGUUUUGAUUACAGAACUGUGCUUUUUGAAUAACAGUCAUUAGCAACGCUGUACUCCUGUCAAACCCAUCAACAAAUUAGCCAGCUGGCAAAUUUAAUAUCUAGGAUCCUAUUGGAUAUAAGCUACAGGCUAUAGUUUAUUUCCUUUUCUUAUUAGAGUCAAAUGUAUUGAAGUGAUGUAACAUCCUAGUCACUAAAACAACAGCGGGUGCUAGAUGACAGCUGUCCGGCGAGGGAAGGUGUGCCAUUCUCUUUUCCAGGUGUUCAGCAGUAGUUAUUCUGUGCAGAA